UAUGCACUCUCAUGUCAAAUGUGCAACCAAAUGGUGAGGCUUCCCUCCAAACUCAAACCUCCAAAACCCAAAACACUAAUCUCUCUUCCUACAACCCUUGCAUCUCAAACUCAAAAAUCACCUUAUCACACAUUCUCUAUAUCUCUUUUGCAAACCCAUAAACUCUUCAGCCAUUUCACCCAAAUCCUCUCUCAUGCCAUUACUUCAGGCUAUUUCACAAAUCCAUACAUAUCCAGCCAACUCCUCCACCAUUGUCUUUCAAAUCCUGACUUCCCCCUCACCUUUUCUCACACCCUUUUCACUCAAAUUCCUAACCCCAAUGUCUUUUCUUGGAAUUUCCUCCUCCGCGCAUACUCCCACAGUUCAUUCCCCCAAGAAGCCAUUAGUCUUUACAAUCAAAUGAUGCAGAAAAGUGUGAUUCUUGAUAAUUUCACUUUCCCUUUUGUACUGAAAGCUUGUAGUCGAUUAAUUAGUUUUCACAAGGGUCUUGAAGUUCAUUGUGUGAGUCUGAAAUUGGGGUUUGAAUUUGAUGUUUUCGUGCAAAAUUCGUUGAUUUAUAUGUAUUUCCAAUGUGGGGUUGUUGAGUUUGCACAGAAGGUGUUUGAUUUUAUUCCUGAUUCAGUUCGUGAUGUUGUCACUUGGAAUAGCAUGAUUUCUGGGUAUUUACAAGGUGGGUGUUGUCAUCAUGCAGUGAAGGUAUUUGGAAAAUUGUUGCGCGAAAGUGAUGUGAGGUUAAAUGAUGUAAGUAUUGUGAGUGCUCUUACAGCUUGUGCAAGAACUGAGUUGCUUGAUGUGGGGAAGAAGAUUCACGGGUUGAUUGUGGUCUAUGGACUUGUCAUGGAUGUCUUCUUAGGUUCUUCUUUGGUUGAUAUGUACACGAAAUGUGGGUAUUUAGAAGAUGCUAAGACUGUUUUUGACAGAUUGUUAGAUAGAAAUGCAGUCUGUUGGACUUCUAUGAUUGCAGGUUAUUUAAAAUGUGAUAUGUGUAAGGAAGCAAUAGAGUUAUUUAGGGAGAUGCUGGUGGCUGGUGUUAAGGCAGAACCUGCCACAAUUGCUUGUGUUGUUUCUGCAUGCGGGCAUUCAGGUGCACUGGAUCUCGGAAGGUGGGUGCAUAAUUAUAGCGAAAGGAAUGGAAUAGAAAUGAACCUUAUAGUGAAAAAUUCUGUGAUUGACAUGUACUCUAAAUGUGGACUAGUUGAUAAAGCUCUUAAAGUUUUCCAUUCAUUAACAAAUAAGGAUGUUUAUUCGUGGAGUAUGAUGAUUUCUGGGCUAGCUAUGAAUGCAAGAUCUGAUGACGCUUUGGAAUUAUUUUCACUAAUGGAAGGAUCAGGUGAAGUAAGUCCAAAUGUAGUAACAUUUCUUGGAAUCUUAUCUGCCUGUAAUCAUGGUGGAUUUGUUGAUGAAGGGUUUUACUAUUUUGAGAAAAUGACCAGGCGAUACAAAUUAUCCCCAGGGAUUGAGCACUAUGGUUGCCUGGUUGAUCUUUUGGGUCGUGCAAAUCUUCUGGUAGAGGCUAUGGAUUUGAUAGGUUCCAUGCCCAUUCAGCCGGAUGCUGUCAUUUGGCGAUCCCUGCUUUUUGCUUGUAGUAGAUAUGGGAAUGUAGAGUUGGCCGAGGUUGCUGCCAAAAAGAUUAACGAAUUGGAGCCAGACAAGUGUGGGGCGUAUGUACUGUUGUCUAACGCUUAUGCCUCUGCAUCUAGGUGGAAGGAUGUAAAGAUGGUAAGGAGGAAUAUGGGUGCUGAGGGAAUCCAAAAGCAACCUGGAUACUCUUUUACUGAAAUAGAUGGCCUUGUUCAUGAAUUUCUUGUUGCUGAUAGAACGCACUGUCAAAUUGACAUCAUAUGUGAUACACUUCUGGCAAUGAAUGUAGUUCUAAAAUCAAGAGCACCUGAGCUUGUUUUCCUGGAUUUCUUACAUUAAUAUGAGAACAUCCACAUUGUUGCGUGAUAUGAUCCCCUCAUGUAAGCCCACUGACUCAUUUCUUCAGAUACAAAUGGCUAUUGCAUAUUUGCAUGAUGGAACUGUUGAAAAUGCAAAAUCCGACAGUGCAGGGUUUCUUACUGGUUGGGACUCAAGGUGCUCGUAUUUUGCUGGAAGUAUGAUAAAGGUCUACCUGCAGCUGCUUAGCUAUGCUCAAGGUGUUGUUAAAAAAGUGACAUUUGACAUGACUAAUCAUUACUUUUAUUCUAUGAUUAUUACACUUUGGUUAAUAAAGAAGAAUACCUAUUGGCCAGUAAGUAACUCGUGGAUUAAAUAUGGUCGUCCUAAAGAAAUUAGAGGUCAGUUGGUUAUGUUCCUUGUGAACAGAGCUUUUGUGGAUCCGAGACAAAUUGUUGCUGGUAUUCUUACUGUUACUAUGUUUGUGAUGCUCGGCAACAUGAUCACGAGGGAUUACUUUUAUCCAGUAAUUCGCCCUUGCAAUUUUUUUAUUUUGAUUUUGAGUUCAUUUGAUGUUAUGCUCCUUUUGGUUGCGGUGGAUUUGUACAUCUCCAUUAGUGCCUUUCCAACUUCAGUCCAA